GUCAUGCACUAUGUUGUGGAAAAUGAGGCAUUAAACCUCAAACUCAAAGCUAGUACAGCGUUGUCUCUGAGGGACUCCGGGUAAGGUUCUGCAUAUUACUAUCCAAGAAAUAGCCUUUUCUGAAGAUCGCAGAUUUCCAGUUCUGGUUCAUUUUGGCUCCAGCUGUAACCUAGUUAAAUUGUAAACUGGAGCAGAAGCGGAAUGGAUGCACCAAAUCAAUGGACUUGGACUUUAAACUUCAGUAUGAAUGCAGGAUGUACACAGGUGCUUUCAGAACCAUUCUGCAGGAUGCAACAAGGUUAUGGGUAACUCCAUCCUCGGAUGCCUAUCCUCAAGAUACUUGGACUCUUGAAGUCUGGAUAAAAUGUAUUAGAAAAUUAUCUACAGAGUACUACUAUCAGUUUGGUAACUUUGUAACUCUGGGAACCCGUUGGCCAUCAACCAAAUGCUGAAUGAGUUUCAAACUGGGCAGGUUUUGGGGCUAUCCUACCAUAGAUAACUGCAGCAUACAAUUCUAGCAUCAUGGGGUUCUCAUUUUCAUCAUAGU